rnacentral:misc_RNA from 1 species
CGUCACACCAUUUUUAAUUACCCAGCAGCAACACUUUUUUUUUCUUUUUUUAAUUUGUUGUUUCACUAUUUAUUAUAUGGGCAUUUGAUAUGCAUUUGUUAGAUGGGUAUUGUAAAAUUUGAUAUGCUUUUCAUUAAAUGGGUAUUGUGAUAUAUUAGAUUGAGGUGUGCAUUAGCAAAUGGUUAUUUAAUUUCGAAAUUAGGUCCUAUUAAUUGGAGACUUGAAGCAUGGGUAAUUGUCAAUUGCGAUAUGUUUUUUAUUAAAUGGGUAUUGUGAUAUGUUAGAUUGAGGCGUGUUAUGUAUUUGCAAAUGGUUACUUGAUUUUAAAAUAGUUUAUGUUCUAUUAAUUGGAGAUGUGAUAUGCUUUUU